UGGGUGGUAAUUCCCUCUAAAGUCUGUCCGAGUCAGUGAAAAUUUCAACAGACAACAUCCAAAUGAGGACGUUAAAUCCAAUUUAUUUUUGAAUCACAAAUCACAGAACAUCCCCCUUUAGAACUUUUUCUUUAAUGGCUAUAAGCCGGAGUAAAAGGCUAACCGUGCGAACAAACACUAGAGGCACCACUUGUCAUGAAAAUUGCGAACGUUUAAUAGUCUAAUUUUGAACAACGGGUAGCGCUUAACUUUUAUAAUUUUAGUUCAAUUUCCAUUGUUUCCGAACUGUAUUAUUAGAUUUCGUUGUAUUUUGUGAAUGUUAAAUGAUUUCUUAGUAUAAAGUUGCUUUAUAUUAAUCUAAAUUACAUUACAUACACAUUUAAAAUUAAAAUAUUAUGACAUAUUGAUUUGACAUAUUGCUUAAAUUCAAUAUGUCAUAUACAAUAAGUUGUUAACGUCAGUUGCAGUCUAAAAGGUCAUCUUGAUAACAAAAAGUUUCAAUGCUUUUAGAAGGAUAUUUGUGAAAAAGAAAUGUUCAGUUUGUAUUGUAAAACGUGGCGUAAAAAAAAGUGGCAGUUUUAUUCUAAUAUUUGACAUCACUGCGCGCAUAGCGACCGAUUCUGUUGCAGGUCACUAUUAUUUUAUACUGUAUGAUCGAAAAAAACCGGUGUCCAGCAGGCUUGGAAAUAACCAAGGAAAUAACCACAUAACGUAGACCCAAGGAUCGCCAGGCCAAGGUCUUUAGGAAAGUUGCCACAGAAGUCACCAGACCAAGUAGAAUUAGCACUCUCCAAUUCCAAAGGCACUUAAUUCUCUGAACAAGUUUCAUGAUGCUGACAUUUUUAAAGACUCUUACUGGGCAUUUAGGAGGAAGAUUAGAAAUGGGAGUGGUGAUUGAUGGGUGUGUUAAUUCUUCUUUUUACUGUACCGUUCUUCUCUUAUAAGUGUUUAUUGUUUUUUUUUUGUAUUAUUUUUUAAUGUUUUUAAGUAUCCUUAUACGAUGUGAAAGAAAAAGAAAAGACAUUUUUUUUCUUUUUUUUUAAUAUUGUUUUGUAAAUUUUGUAAUGUAAUGGGGUUUCCUGUAAAUAAAUAAAUAAAUAAAUAUAGAGAUAAAAAAAUUAUAUUAACAUUACAAAAUAGGUACUUAAAUUGAAUUUACGCUGUCUUGACUUGACGGUAAUUAUUUUGAUUUAUUAUCGAUUUAUACUGAUCAGACUUAAGAUUUAAAUUGUUUAAACUUUAUGUUGAAUUGGACUAAGAUUUAAAUCGUUUUGAUUUUUGAAAUGACUUAAGACUUAAGAUUUAAGUGCUGCUGCUGCCCCUUGGGGACUUGUUGCAGGUCUGGGUGUAUAAAAGAAGCACAAAAAUAUUUGUCUGUAUUUAGUUUGUUUCUGAACUUAGAUUUUGUUCUUUGUUUAUUUUUUGGGAGGUGAAAUGCGGGUUCAACUUUAGUAGAUGAACGAGACAAAAUAUUUUCUAAAAAUAUCAUCUUUGGAAAUGCCAUAAGGAAUAAUAAGAAUUUUUGCGAAUGUUUCCGUAAUUCUGCGACCAGACAGAACGAUGACCUAUAAUUUCUAAACAAAAUUUUAGGUUAUAGGUACGGUUUACGACGCGAUAGUCGCUUAAUUUUUAGUCCAAAUGUGUCAGAUUUUUAAAAGUGCUUCUAUUGUAAAGGCUAAAGACGCAGUUGAACAUAUUGUUAGACUUUUGUUUAAAUCGGUAGAUCUGUAGCUUACAGACGAAAUCAGUAGACCUGGCAACUCUGUGAUGGAUUGACGCGCUAGAGCGACGCGGAGGCGCGGAAAGAUAAAUAAUAUUAAUGGUGAUAAAGGGCAGAUGAAUGGAAGGCGGCGCUGAGGCGGUGCUAUUUCCAAAAUUUGUCUUAUUGGAGUUUGUCUAACUCGACAGUCAUAGUGGAAGAGGAAACGGGGAAGUUGUGGUCCCUCUCUGUGUAAGCUACUAACUUUUUAUAGGCGUUUCAUUCCAAUGCAUGUAAUUAAUUGCUAUGCCUAGAUCUUACAAUACCGGACCUGUAGAAGUAUCUCUUCAAGCCUCAAGCAGCUAUGUUAAGAAAAAUAUGUGCCACGGGACUGUUUGGAAAUAUGGUAACAAUUUGGUCUCGGGUGUUAUUUUAAGUCCUUGUAUUCUUUAGUCAUUAGUUGUAAGUAUGGGGUUCUGGUUGCUUAAAAUGUAAACUUUGGUUAAGUGGAAGAAUGGCCAUGCUUAAACUUCGCCCCGCCACAUCCUCUUAUGUAGAUAUAUUGUAUUAAUGUAUAUUUUAUUUAUAUAUCAAUGUAUGCACUUUACAGUACAGACGUUUAUAAUUAUUAAU